GGAUCCCCCUCCGCAAGUUUUUACAAACGCUCAGUGUGUCGUGUCUGGUUUUUGAAGCCCUGCCAGACUUCCACAGGAUAAACUAAGAGGGUGGUUAUUACUAACAUUGUACAAAUGGAAGAGUUAACAGCCUCUCGAACUGAGCGUGCAGCCCAUCUAGUUGAGAAGCUGUGGUUCCAAGGCAAUAACAGCUCAUCCAUUAUUUCAGCCUUGCACUUAAUUUCCUUCUGUGCAUGCCAAUGCUCUCUUCCACAGCAGAUUCCUGGAAAUGUCCAAAGGAUCGUCAGCAAAAUGGUCAGGUUCUAUAAAGGGGGUUCCUUGAUCCGAUUGCUUGCUCGCAGCUCUUCUUUUCCAGGAUGGAACUGCCUUGGCCUCAGGACUACCCUCUGUAUCUUCAAACGCCUCUAUUCCAGCAAGACAUCCAGCCAUGGGCAGGUUUCCCCCGUCUUCAACAGGGCACCAGCUUUUGGAGAAAAAAUAGCCAUCAUUGACCAAAAUGGGGAGCACAGCUACCAGGACUUGUACGCUCGAAGCCUCCAGCUCUCCCAGAAAAUAUGUAAGACUCUGGGCAACUUGAGCAGAGACCUGAAGGGAGAACGGAUUGCAUUUUUGUGCCCCAACGAUGUCUCCUAUGUAACGGCCCAAUGGGCUUCGUGGAUGAGCGGAGGCAUCGCUGUUCCUCUCUACAGAAAACAUCCCGCGUCAGAACUAGAGUAUUUCAUUCAGGAUUCUCAGAGUGCUCUCCUUGUUGUAGAGGAAGGGUACUUGGAAAAGAUCGCACCUAGUGCGGAGAAACUUGGCGUACCUGUGCUCUCCCUUCUCAAGUCUGGGAAGACAGACGUGACAAUAGACGGAUCCCUUUUAGAAACCGGUUGUCCCAUUUCGGAUUGGAAGGACAGGUGUGCCAUGAUCAUCUACACAAGUGGCACAACCGGAAGACCCAAAGGUGUCCUCAGCACCCACCAGAAUCUCCAAGCUGUGAUCACCGGGCUGGUUGACAAAUGGGAAUGGACCAAGGACGACGUGAUCCUCCAUGUGCUGCCUUUGCACCACGUCCAUGGUGUGGUCAAUAAGCUCCUGUGUCCUCUCUGGGUGGGAGCCACAUGCAUCAUGCUUCCUGAGUUCAGUGCACAAACAGUUUGGGAGACAUUCCUGAACCCCCAGACACACCGGGUCAAUGUCUUCAUGGCAGUGCCUACCAUCUAUGCCAAACUGGCCGAGUAUUACAACCAGCACUACUCGCAGCCUCAUGUCCAGGAUUUCAUCCAUGCUGUAUGUCAGAAUAACAUCCGGGUGAUGGUGUCAGGGUCUGCAGCCCUCCCUGUGCCUGUCCUUGAGAGGUGGAGGAGUAUUACUGGGCACACACUGCUGGAGAGAUAUGGCAUGACAGAGAUCGGCAUGGCCCUUUCCAACCCAUUGCAUGGCCCUCGGGUCCCAGGUUCUGUGGGGAUGCCACUGCCUGGAGUAAAAGUCCGCAUUGCCACAGAAAGUUUGCAAAGGGAUGGUCCAGCUUACACCGUCCAUGCUGAAGGGGACGAGAAUGGCACAAAGGUGACCCCAGGUUUGGAUGAGAAAGAAGGGGAGCUCUUUGUGAAAGGACCCACAGUGUUUCGGGAAUACUGGAACAAACCUAAGGAGACCAGGGAUGCUUUUACUCUGGACGGCUGGUUCAAAACAGGUGACACAGCUGUGUAUAAAGAUGGCACCUACUGGAUCAGGGGGCGGACGUCCGUUGACAUCAUUAAAAGCGGAGGCUACAAAAUCAGCGCCCUGGAGGUUGAGCGCCAUUUGUUGGCCCACCAGAGUAUUGCUGAUGUCGCUGUGAUUGGUGCACCAGACAGGAUGUGGGGCCAGAAAGUCAGUGCUGUGGUCAAACUCCACCAAGGCCAUACUUUGUCUCUCAAGGAAUUGAAGGAGUGGGCAAGGGAGUCCAUGGCACCCUAUACCAUCCCAUCUGAGCUGCUGCUGGUGGAGGAGAUCCCACGCAACCAAAUGGGCAAAGUGGACAAGAAGUACCUUCUCAAGCAGUUCUACUCCUCCUCCUAAGGAAGACGAUGCCAGAGGGAGCCGAGCAGAAAAGGAAAGCUUUGGCAGGCACCUGCACCCUUGGCCGGGAAGUGGCUAAACAACUGUGCUGAGGUUUAUCCAAAAGGGUGAUUGGAUGCCACUCUCCUUUCCAACACUCUGAUCACUUCCUUGUGCACACACACACACACACACACACACACACACACACACACACACUUUGUCUUAUGAUCAUGUCUAAGACGGGGCCAGAUCUGUGAUUUUUUUUCAUAACCAUACGUCAAUAUUUUAUAAACUCUGGCUUGCUUCUAUCUGGCCUCUUUAAUAGUUGGUGACAGGUCUUUUUCUGCAGCUGAUUUAAGUACAGCUUGAAGCUAUAAGUCGCCAGUGGGGGAAGAUAAGGUCUUUACAUCCAGACUUAGGGCAACCCUGUGGCUUUUGGGAAAGGAGCUUCAGCCCUCCCCAAACAUGACACCACUCUGCACUCCCUAAAGAUCUUGUCCUGUUUGCAACUUCUGGAAUCCCAUUGGUGACCUACGCAGGUAUAAUAUCAAACUACACCUGCAUGUGCCUUUUAUUGGUUGUUGCAGAAAGAAGUAUUCAGUAUCUUUGUCUGGAAUAUCCCCUUAGUUCUUAUUUUAGCAGUUUGAUGGCCAUUCAGUGGUUAAGGGAAGAUGGAGGUCAGCCGGGCAGUGCCCAUAGGAAGAAAGGAAGAGACCCCAAGAGAUAUCCAGUCCAAUCUUGCAAUGUAGGAAGACACAAUCAAAGCACUUCCAACAGAUGGCUAUCCAGCCUCUGUAAAACAUCCAAAGAGGGAGAUUUCACCACCCUUCGAGACAGCAAAUUCCUCUGUCAAACAGCUCUCAUUUUCAGGAAGGUCUUCCUAACGUUUAGGUGGAAUCUCUUUUCUUGUAGUUUGAACCUGCCAGCAGUCCUCUGGGAGGAUAUCUCUUAGAUUUGGCGUAGUUUCCCAGGGCAUUGGACCCUUUUUUGAGAAGGACUAUUCAAUUAAGAGGCAGUCUUCAUUAGCCGUGAAAAGGUCUGAAUCGCUUGUUCAGUCUAAGAUGGACUGCAGUAAAUGCAAAGCAAACAGGCAGCAUUCAAGGAUAUAUAUUUGAAAAGCUUGCUGAUGAAUUUAAGCAUACAUUCUGAACAUAUCUUCAGGUUGCCUCAAUCACCUAUAGGCUACCAGUUUAGAGAACUCAGCAAAGCUAGGGCUUAUCUUCUCAGAAGAAGGAAGAAAAAGAGAGAAAGGAAGAAGGGGAGGAAUCUGUAGCCUGAUUUCCUACGGGUUUGUGUUAAUUAGAACAGUCCCAUUGACUCAUUUGUAUUUGGGACAAGCAAUAGGAUUUAGGUAUGUAUAACCUCAGAUACCUGGGAGUUUCCAAAUUCACAUGGCUUGUGUGUCAAAUACAUUAAUCACCUAUAGGCUAUAGAUUUGCAAACGGGGAAAGCUUGAGAGGCUGUCAAAUAGAACAGAGGUAUACUGUACAUGAAACCUGGGUUUGAAUCCCCACUUAGCCAUGGAAACCCACACAAAUCACACACUUUCAGCCUCAGAGGAAGGCAAUGGCAAACCCUCUUUGAACAAACCUUGUCAAGAAAACCCUGCGAUAUCAUAAGUCGGAAACAACUUGAAUGCAUGCAACAGCUUCUCAUAUGCUCUCACAGCUGAAAGGCGAAUUGCUUAAAGCAUAACCUGAACUCUUAGUGCUCAGCAGAUUUGGUUUUCUUUAGUGUUACAACACACGCUUUCUUUAAAAAAAAAACAAAUCUUGGAAGCUUAUUGGUUCUUUUGUUCCCUUUCCCUUUUAAACUGACUUCUCGGCUUGUAUUCAUUUGUAUAAUUGGAUAUCUCAGCCAGAGGAAAGGACAAGGCGCGACAAAAGUUCGCGCUCUCUUAAGUGGGGCUGCACGACCCUCAUGGGAUUUGGAGGGAGGGUGGAGGAAUCACAGCCAUCGUCUCUGCUGUGGAAUGAGCCUCUCUGGAGACUUCGCCCGUCUGAUCAAUGUGCUUUAAAAUGCUUUUACAGAAUUCCCAUUCUUCUGCCGAAGACAGGCCCAGGGGAGACGCUUCCAUUUGGUGCUCUUUUUCUGCCUUCACGUCUCAUCCGUCCUGGCCCUGCUUCACCUUCAGCCUGCAUGAGUCCCAGGGAAUACAUUUCUGGAAAACCUGAAGCUGAGACACCUGCCUCUGUUGGUGGACUUGCAAUCCUGUUGCCAAGCCAGAUUCCACCAGCCAUUGGCACACACUGAUGCUCCAUUGUGGAAAGUGGGAGGGAUGGACAGGCACCUGCCAAUGCAUCAUUGCACACUACUACAUGUCCCAUGGGGCCGCUCCCGGAGGAAUGGGGUGCCAGGAAGGAGCCCUCCCUUUGAGAGGGGAGGGAAGGGAUGGCGCCGUCUCCUUUGUUAAAGCCUCAGCGACGCAGUAAAUAUUUUUCACUUACCAUAUAGAUCAAUAUCAAAUUAUCAUGUCUCACAUUCAUAACUCUUAAGCAAGCAACAAUGGGGAGAGACAAGGUCACUGGAGAAUAAAUAGCAGCCCGGGCGCUCCAUGAUCUAUCAUUCCCGACAAGCCCCCGGCACCUUGCACCGGGACCACUGACAAGAUCAUUAAUAAAACUCUGCCGUUGCCCGAUCGAUGGGUUUGAUGGAUGAGCACAGGUAGCAAAUACAGUAAAACAGCUGCCUGUCAUGCUUGAGUGAGGGAUGCGAGCUCUGCCAGAGGGGUGGGAGCCAGGGGCCGUGUGCCAUUUUCCUUUGGGGGUUCCUGGUUUGUUUAAAGGGGGGCUUUAAAAGCCACUCAGAGUUUGCCAAUGAAUGUUUGAACUCAGCACCUCUCUGUCUGGGUGGGACAAUGUUACUGGUGCCAAAAGAAAGGGCAUUUGGGGGGACUCCACAUUUUACAUUUCCCCAGUGGGGUGUGAGAUGCUGGAUGCUAGGAACAGGGAGCCUCAGGUCCCAAUCUGGUCCCCUGGACUUCACUCAGAUGGCCAUGUCUUCUUCCCUAUCAUUUGGUGGUUUCUCACAUUUGUAUGUGUUUAUUCCAAUUCUAAAUGAUUUUAGCUAUGUCCCUGGUGGUAAGAGCUUCAGAGUAAGACAAGAUAGUAUUUUUCACCCCACCUGCUUUGCCUUAGGACCCACUCACUCUCCCAAACCCAGCCUGGGCAGUCACAAAGGCGGAUUGCUACACAGCUGAUAGCAGACUCCAGCUAAGGAGCAAGAACAAGAACAGAGCAGCCUACACUUCGGCAUUUACUUUACUUAGUAAACACAAGCCUUCGGUCCCAAACAGAGUCAGUAUACAAGCUUCAGGUCUGGCAAAGAGUGCAACAACAUCCAAGCCAGAGUCAACAAACACAGUCCCUCCAGGUAGGUCAAAUAAUUUCUGAUGGUAACACCUGGAUGGUAGGGCUGGGGUUUAUAGACCAGCAGCUCAAUGCAGCUGCUGCUGAAUUAAUGGAUGCUUCCCAUAAAUCCUCUGAGAUCCCAAGGUGUUGGUUGUCUCCGCUCGGGAAGAUAGGCAGGGGAUAAGUGGUCUUCUCUACUUAAUGGGCAGCAGGACUCUCUGACAUUGCUGCUCUUGCCCUGUGGUCUGUCUCUGAGACGCAUGGCCCUGGAAUGUCCUCUGGUCCAGCAGCAGGUCCAUUAGGCUUCAGUCUAUGCUCUGGAAGCAGGGCCUGACACACACCAUCAGAAUGCAGCCCAGAAAUACCAUGCUUUGUAACUGGCAAGGGUCUGAUAUUUCAGGACGGAGGAAUUGCUAUAUCCGCUCCCGUCCCACUAUGCAUACUGGAAAGAUUUUAACCUAGUGCCAGAAAGAAUAAAAUGUUGGUGUCAGGCAUAUUUCCUUCCAAAG